GAAUGUGCUAGCUACCCUGAACAAGCCCCAUCCCUUCUGAUCUUGGAAACUAAGCAGGAUCGGGUCUGGUUAGUACUUAGGUGGGAGACCACCUAGGGAAGACCAAGUGCUGUAGGCA
rnacentral:rRNA from 1 species